AACAGUGCAACAAAGGCAGGAUCAACACAUGAAGACACCCGGCUCCUCGCAGCUUUGGUUGACAGGCCAGAGAGUUCGGCGUGUCGCCGCCGUCUGCAGGGACCCGGCGCGAGCCACCGGCACUGAGAGACUGAAGGAUCAGGAGUGGCUCUGCUGCUGGGAUCCACAACGCGCUCUGGUUUCCUCCCACGUUGUCCAAAAAACAUGACUUCAAACUGUCGUAGUCAAGUGCAACUCACAAUAACGGCGGUACAUUGUCAUCAGUCAAGGAGGACUCCUCCACUUAAGGUAGCUGUUCAAUGACUCCCGAUCAUCGGCAUGAAACCUAUCAAAUCUAUGUCGAACGUAGACACUGAACCUGUCACUGAGGAGGGUAGACUAUUGCGGAAAACCAAAUCAACAAUGACGUCACAUAUCAGGCUCUACGAUGGCGAUAACGUCAAAGUCGGGGGCAACUGUGAGAUAGCUGGGACAGUGUGACUGCAGGCCC